GGAAUAUUGGACAAUGGGCGAAAGGCCUGAUCCAGCAAUGCCGCGUGUGUGAAGAAGGUCUUCGGAUUGUAAAGCACUUUCGACGGGGACGAUGAUGACGGUACCCGUAGAAGAAGCCCCGGCUAACUUCGUGCCAG
rnacentral:rRNA from 1 species